rnacentral:lncRNA from 12 species
AAAAAGUUAUUGAGGAUCAGGAUCCAUUGUGGCAAACAAGGGCAUUUUCAUUUAGGAACCAUAAUGUAUAUUCAUUUUAGUUUAAACAGCAUUUGAAGCAACACAAUUGAAGAAAGCUGUUGUGGUUGGCAGUGUGGUGAUGAGGAAAUUGGCCAGUCAUCCAGAAAGGCUGGCCAGACUUUCCGUCUCGGGAGAGCAGAUCCAGGCACAAGUGGUUACAACAUCCCGGUCCACCAUGGCAGGGAAGGGGAUUCAGGGUAAGAAUCCUAUACAAAAGAGAUAGAGAACAUUACCCAUAACUUAUAUGCCUCUAAACAUGUCCAUUCCAAAUAUUUGUCAUCAAGUUCAAAAUAGCACCAUCUGGAGAACCAAGAGUGGUAAAAAAGAAUGGAGGGAAUCCAUCUUGGCCAAAGCAGGGAAAUCUUACCCAGAGAGAUGAGCCCAGUAGUAUUCUCAAAGUGGUAAAGCAUAAUGAUUAAGAACAUGGACUGGUUGACAUUCAUGUAAGUAAUGGUAUAGGAAGAAGCUCAAUUGCAAAAUUGCCCUUUACCUCUGAUUAGUGUUUACAUGGCACACAUUUUCCUUUUUUUUUUAUUAACUCUCAGUCCACCUAUGUCUUUAGGUGUGUGUGUGUGUGUGUGUGUGUGUGUGUGUGUGUUGUAAAAAUGAUAUAGUCUCAUCAUUUUAAUUUAAUCUGACAAAUUUUGUCAUUUGAUUAGAGUAUGUAAUACA